rnacentral:lncRNA from 1 species
ACUCUGUAUUUUCCCCAGCAGGCUCUGUGGAUGCCCAGCCUCCCCAGUGGCAUGCAUGGAGGCGGACAGGACCUGUCGGGAGGGAGCAGGCUGAUUCUGAGGCUCUUCACUCCUUUCCAUGCUGACCGCAGAUCCACCCCCAACCUCAGAAAGAAGGUCAAAUGAAGACCUGACUCGCUGCAGGAAACCAGCCAUGCCUCUAACCUUGGCUUUGCCCUUGGCUUCCUGCCUGCCCCAAGAACACCCCUGACUGUUCUCCAGUGCAUCUCGAUUCUACCAUAGCCUGGGGAGACAGCCAAGCUCUUUGCCAUGGCAUCGGCCUCCCUUUCCCUUUUGUUGGAGAAAGAAAAAAACGAAGGAAAGAUGAGCAACAUCUCUCUCCCCGCCAUCUCCUCAUUCUCUUCCUCAGUUUCUUACGAGUGAAAUCACCCAAGAUAUAAAUAACACAUUCUAAAUAAAGCCAUGUUUGACUGCAGCACAA